rnacentral:ncRNA from 1 species
GAGCAGCUCCCUGUCAGUAGGCAGCUCCUUAGAGGAAUCUAGGGAUGAAUAAUGAGGUGAAUUGCUGGAAACCCUUCAAAAAGAAAGGAGGGCAAUCAGCAGCCAAGUCUCCGCGGUGGCGGGGAAAGGUUCAGAGACUAUCCCGAAAGGGAGUACCCCAAAAUGAUUAGUGGGGGAAGCGCCUCACACCGAGAACCGGUGAUGAUAUAGUCCACGCCUUUUGGUAACAGAAGG